UGCGUAGGCGGAAUAUUAAGUCAGUGGUGAAAUCCUGCGGCACAACCGUAGAACUGCCAUUGAUACUGAUAUUCUUGAAUGUAGUUGAGGUAGGCGGAAUGUGUAAUGUAGCGGUGAAAUGCUUAGAUAUUACACAGAACACCGAUUGCGAAGGCAGCUUACUAAACUAUGAUUGACGCUGAUGCACGAAAGCGUGGGGAGCGAACAGGAUUAGAUACCCUGGUAGUCC
rnacentral:rRNA from 1 species